rnacentral:lncRNA from 1 species
GAUCUUGCACAUGACCUGUGUAUUAGUGGGGGACUUGAAGGAGGAAUCAAAGUUGCUAGACCCUUGGGGAUUGAAUAUAAGGUGACACUUCCUUCCUACUUCACCUUUCCCCAAGUUGAACUGUUGACCAAUGGAGUCAGUCUGACUAGACUAAAAGUCUCCUCAAGACUGAGUGCCACCAACUUCUCUACCAGCUGGAGUCUUCUCCUGUUCCAGAUUCCCAACUCCUGGAGCCCCUCCCCUGUGGAGGUGAUCAAUUUCACAUACUCUUCAGCCUGGCACUUUUUCUCUAGUGCCAGUCUCUGUCACAGGAUCACAAAUUUAAAGAAAAUUUAAAGACCAAGGAGACCUAAGCCAACCACCUCAUUGUACAAUAGAGAAAAAAAUAUAAAACAGUUUUGAUAAACUUAAAUAGCUAACAUAUUUGACCAAUGUCAAUAUAUGACCCUCAUGGUAUUUAGUAAAAUGGCGACUUUGCCAUUUUGCUAAAAUGAGUUGAAAAUGAAAAAAAUCUCCAAAUUUGCUGAUAGUGAUCCAAUAUUAUAUAUUUUACUGAUAGCAUCAAUGCAUUUAAAAUUUUUUUAUCUUGUUUCUAAAUAACCUUUAAUAUCCAUAUAUAUAUAUAAUUUUUUCUAAUUUUAUAAAAGUUUUUUUGGUAGUUUGAUAGGUAUGGCACUGAAUACAUAGAUUUGGGUAAUAUUGUUAUUUUUUAUAUUAGCUCAUCCUACCCAAGAGCAAUGAAUGUUUUAUCAGUUGUUUAAAACUAGUUUUAAUUGUGUGAAAAGCGUUUUGUAGAUGUGGUCUUAUGAUUCCUGUGUUUGUCUUGCAAAUAGAUUCCUAUAUAUUUUAUAUUGUCUAGGGUGAUUUUGAAUGGAAUUUCUCUAACUCCUCCUGCUGAAUUUUGUUAGAAAUA